GUGCCUGCUUCUGCAGCACAUACACCAAAAUUGGAACGAUACAGAGAAGGUUAGCGUGGCCCCUGCGCAAGGAUGACACGCAAAUU
rnacentral:snRNA from 1 species